rnacentral:rRNA from 1 species
GUGGGGAAUCUUAGACAAUGGGCGCAAGCCUGAUCUAGCCAUGCCGCGUGAGUGAUGAAGGCCCUAGGGUUGUAAAGCUCUUUCAGCUGGGAAGAUAAUGACGGUACCAGCAGAAGAAGCCCCGGCUAACUCCGUGCCAGCAGCCGCGGUAAUACGGAGGGGGCUAGCGUUGUUCGGAAUUACUGGGCGUAAAGCGCGCGUAGGCGGACUGAAAAGUUGGGGGUGAAAUCCCGGGGCUCAACCUCGGAACUGCCUUCAAAACUAUCAGUCUGGAGUUCGAGAGAGGUGAGUGGAAUUCCGAGUGUAGAGGUGAAAUUCGUAGAUAUUCGCAAGAACACCGGUGGCGAAGGCGGCCAACUGGUCCAUUACUGACGCUGAGGUGCGAAAGCGUGGGGAGCAAACAGGAUUAGAUACCCGAGUAGUCC